GGGGACAUUCAGUCGGGAGGCAGCGGACGUGCGUUGCGGAGUGAGCGGUUUCCGCGUCGGCCGCGACGUGUGCUUUCGUGCCACCCGACGUAUUUGUUUCCCGUCCGACGGACGCCGCUACCGGUUGGAGAACGGCCUUAAGGGCGGACGAUGGCAGGUGGCCGGUGGACGUGUCUGCACACCCCUCUGUGUCUGUGUGUUCUUCGUCCGCCGGUUGUUAGCCGGUUUCCGUCGCACGGCCCGUGAUCCGACCGUGGUGUCGCGAGACCCCUUCGUGGGACUCUUCGCCUCCUCCUCUGCGGGAUGCCCGGAAUUGGCCGCACGGGUUCUCUCCCCACCUGCGGGCGCACGGACUGACUCCGUGGCCCAGCAGCGUGGGAGUCCCAGGUUGGUGGUCCAUUACCGGUUGGAGUGUUGUGCGGUAAGCGGCGAGUAGAUCGGUCACCCACCCGACCCGUCUUGAAACACGGACCAAGGAGUCUAACAUGUGUGCGAGUCAAUGGGUCUUGCGCAGGCCCAGAGGCACAAUGAAAGCGAAGGCCGGAACUGACUUCCGGCUGUGUUGAGAUCCUCCCCCCUGGUGUCGGGGGAGGCGCACCAACGGCCCGUCCCGUCCGAUUCAUCGGAGGGGCGGAGUCUGAGCGUACACGUUGGGACCCGAAAGGUGGUGAACUAUGCCCGGGCAGGACGAAGCCGGAGG
rnacentral:rRNA from 1 species